rnacentral:lncRNA from 1 species
GGCGCGGUAAAUGGCGCUCUGAGUACUUUCUGUCUCAGUCCGGCUGGCCGCUCACGCGUCGGGCCCCCAUUUACUCUCGUUACUGAGGAGACACGGCUCCAGUUUUGACCCGACUACGGUUGUUUUCUUCGUGUGUACCGCGAAAUGCUGAUGACGUCCGGUUCCGCGCAGUUUUUUUCCUAUUUCGUUUCCAACCACAGUUGUGCGGUUCACAGAUUUUUCCCUUGGGAUGUGUUUUCCAUACCUCCAAGCCCACUCUCAGAGCCUUGGGGCCCCAUAAAACUUCAUGCGCAGCUGCUUUCUGGUAUUUGCAGACCUGGAAGGCUUCUCGUAUUCUUAAUUUGGGGAAGAGAGACAUAGGUUUCCUUGUACAACGGGAUGAGGAUUUAAGAGCAGAACGACACUGAUAUUUUAAAGGCGAGGGUAUUUAGAUUUGUGGAGCUGAAACUUGCCUGAAAAGGGAGACAAAAUUUGGAAGUUUGUUGUGUGCAGUUUCUGCCCCUUACCCCCGCCCUUCACUUUUAAACUGCGCAUAUAUCAACAAUAGUUACGGUUGUUGCAGCAGUCUAAAUUUGAUUAUCAGAAUUGACCCUAGGCAUGAAUUUUUUUUUAAAUAUACCAAUGUCGUGUUAUAUACACUUAUACCAUUAUGUCCAGACUUCUCUUAAGCAUAGUUCGUGGUGGGCAGUUUUGUGGUCAUUUAGGGAUGAACUUGGGUAGGGAAAGCUGAGCAUACAUAAUUUAUUUUAGGAAUGCACCAGUUCUGCCAACAUUUAUCAGAAGUCACGUUUUUAAAAAGCUAUUCUGGAACUGAAGAUGUCAUUGGUUUAUAAGAGGAAAAUGGAAGCCAAAAGCUUACACCUCAUGCUCUAUCUUUAAAAAUUAAGGUGGCAGACACAAUGAGUAGAAGGCUUUUAUGUUACCAGAAUGAAGGCUUAAAAUCUGUCAUUUUAUUGACUCGGCUUUCUUUUUAGAAAUUUCUUUAAGAUAUAAAAGCAAUGUGGAAUAUCACUCUUUCACACUCUUAAAAUAGAUUACGUUCUCUGGAACUUCUCUAAUCUGAAAUGUGUUCAAAAAGGAAAAAGAUCUUUAAAAUACGCCAGUUAGUCUAUGGUAUAAUAUUAAACACUAUUCAUCACUAGAGAAGUUAUGGUGGUAUACCCUCCCCUUUCUCAGAUGUCCACCUUAAUGCCAGAAAUGAGCGGAGUUUCCCUUUGUUGUGCAAAAUGACUGUGUCCUUGAGGGAUGUUUGGAUGCUCUUGGUAAACCGGAAUCAGCCAGAAGCAUAUCCGGUGUUAGCCUUGUUGUGUCAUCAACAUUACAACAGUGAGGAAACCCACAUAUUCCAAUGAAAGAGGAAAACUUAAAGAAGAAGUUUCCAGUGUAUUUUCUUUGAGAUAUAUUUAUUCCUAUGACCUCAGAAGAUCAGCUUUUACCGUCCAAGGUUCACUUUGCCUAAAAGCUGAUUGUUCCUGUGGAAACAGUAGCAUCGGAUGACCCUACAAACAAAGCAUUAUGACAUCAUCAGAGCCAACAACCUGGCAUGACAGAUACUAAUAAGGAAAAAAGAGGUUACAAGAAUUCUGACACUCAUCACAGUGGAUCCAAUAUCUGGUCCCUUGGGUUUCAUAUAUGUUAGAAGUAUCUUCUCAGGAGGGAAAAGUCAAUGCCAGUCAUAUCCUUUCUAGCUAUUAGAAAUGUCCAUCAGCUUACGAGGAGAUUCUCCCUCAUCUCACAAACUACCUGCAUCUCCACUUCCCUGGAAGAAAAAAAAAAUCUGGACAUACCCAAGCUGUGUAUGUGCCUGAGAUCUUCCCUUCCAAGUUGUUUGUUUUCUGGUCUUCCUGAAAACCAAGAUGCUGUGCGAAAAACCCUGGAUUGGGAACCAGAAGAGGUGCCACCACAGGUAACCAUCAGAGAACACACUGCUAUUUUCAAAUAAACAGAACUGAAC